UCCGUAGGGGGCAAGCGUUGUCCGGAAUCAUUGGGCGUAAAGCGCGCGUAGGCGGCCCUGUAAGUCCGUUGUGAAAGUCAAAGGCUCAACCUUUGAAAGCCGAUGGAUACUGCAGGGCUAGAGUCCGGAAGAGGCGAGUGGAAUUCCUGGUGUAGCGGUGGAAUGCGCAGAUAUCAGGAGGAACACCAAUAGCGAAGGCAGCUCGCUGGGACGGUACUGACGCUAAGGCGCGAAAGCGUGGGGAGCGAACAGG
rnacentral:rRNA from 1 species